GUGAGGAAUAUUGGUCAAUGGGCGCGAGCCUGAACCAGCCAAGUAGCGUGGAGGACGACGGCCCUACGGGUUGUAAACUCCUUUUAUAAGGGGAUAAAGUUGGCCAUGUAUGGCCAUUUGCAGGUACCUUAUGAAUAAGCAUCGGCUAAUUCCGUGCCAGCAGCCGCGGUAAUACGGAAGAUGCGAGCGUUAUCCGGAUUUAUUGGGUUUAAAGGGAGCGUAGGCGGGCAGUCAAGUCAGCGGUCAAAUGGCGCGGCUCAACCGCGUUCCGCCGUUGAAACUGGCAGCCUUGAGUAUGCACAGGGUACAUGGAAUUCGUGGUGUAGCGGUGAAAUGCUUAGAUAUCACGAGGAACUCCGAUCGCGCAGGCAUUGUACCGGGGCAUUACUGACGCUGAGGCUCGAAGGUGCGGGUAUCAAACAGGAUUAGAAACCCCAGUAGUCC
rnacentral:rRNA from 1 species